CAGUCGCCACGGUAAUACGAAGGUCCCGAGCGUUGUUCGGAAUCACUGGGCGUAAAGGGAGCGUAGGCGGCGUGGUAAGUCAGAUGUGAAAUCCCGGGGCUCAACCCCGGAACUGCAUCCGAUACUGCCAUGCUAGAGGAUUGGAGAGGUAGCUGGAAUUCUUGGUGUAGCAGUGAAAUGCGUGGAGAUCAAGAGGAACACUCGUGGCGAAAGCGAGCUACUGGACAAUAACUGACGCUGAGGCACGAAAGCUAGGGGAGCAAACAGGAUUAGAUACCCGCGUAGUCCCUGUCUCUUAUAC
rnacentral:rRNA from 1 species